AUUGAACGCUGGCGGCAGGCCUAACACAUGCAAGUCGAGCGAGAGGCGGACGGAUGAGUAAUGUAUGGGAAUCUGCCUGAUGGAGGGGGAUAAAUACUGGAAACGGUAGCUAAUACCGCAUACCCUCAGCUGUACCCAUAUGGGAUUAGCUUGUUGGUGGGGUAACGGCUCACCAAGGCGACGAUCCCUAGCUGGUCUGAGAGGAUGAUCAGCCACACUGGGACUGAGACACGGCCCAGACUCCUACGGGAGGCAGCAGUGGGGAAUAUUGCACAAUGGGCGCAAGCCUGAUGCAGCCAUGCCGCGUGUAUGAAGAAGGCCUUCGGGUUGUAAAGUACUUUAAGUCGGGAGGCGUUACCGACAGAAGAAGCACCGGCUAACUCCGUGCCAGCAGCCGCGGUAAUUC
rnacentral:rRNA from 1 species